GAUGAAGAACGCAGCAAAAUGCGAUACUUGGUGUGAAUUGCAGAAUCCCGUGAACCAUCGAGUUUUUGAACGCAAGUUGCGCCCGAAGCCUUUUGGCCGAGGGCACGUCUGCCUGGGCGUCACGCAUCGCGUCGCCCCCCACAAUUCUCCGUAAAAGGAACAUGUGUUUUGGGGGCGGAUAUUGGUCUCCCGUGCUCAUGGCGUGGUUGGCCGAAAUAGGAGUCCUUUCGAUGGACGCACGAACUAGUGGUGGUCGUAAAAACCCUCGUCUUUUGUUUCGUGCUGUUGCUCGCAAGGUAAACUCUUUAAAAACCCCAAUGUGUCGUCUCUUGACGACGCUUCGACCGCGACCCCAGGUCAGGCGGGACUACCCGCUGAGUUUAAGCAUAUCAAUAAGCGGAGG
rnacentral:misc_RNA from 1 species